ACCAGCUGCAUUUUGGCCAUGGCUUUGCAGCGCACUCUGGAAGCAGUGUGGCUGGGUCUCCUCUUCAGCUCUCUCUGGAAGGUUGCAGAGAGCAAGGACCAAGUAUUUCAGCCUUCCACUGUGGUCUCUUUGGAGGGAGCUGUGGCAGAAAUUUCCUGUAAUCACUCUAUAUCCAAUGUUUAUGGCUUCUUCUGGUACCUUCACUUCCCAGGAUUUGCACCAAGACUCCUUAUUAAGGGCUCACGGCCUUCUCAACAGGGACGCUACAACAUGGCAUACAAGAGGUUUUCUUCAUCACUGCUCAUCCUCCAGGUGCAGACGGCAGAUGUGGGGGUUUAUUAUUGUUCUGUGGAUCCUCCUCAGUUCCAGGUCUCCCAGGCUGGGAUAAUUUCUUCCUCCUCUGUCCCUUCAAGACUAGGAGUGGUGACGUCUUCUUACUGUUGUUGGUCCCAGGGUGCUUUAUCUUCUCUUGUAGAUUUCCCCUAA